rnacentral:rRNA from 1 species
UACGUAGGGUGCGAGCGUUAAUCGGAAUUACUGGGCGUAAAGCGUGCGCAGGCGGCUUCGCAAGUCAGGCGUGAAAUCCCCGGGCUUAACCUGGGAAUUGCGCUUGAAACUACGGUGCUGGAGUGCGGCAGAGGAAGGUGGAAUUCCUGGUGUAGCGGUGAAAUGCGCAGAUAUCAGGAGGAACACCGGUGGCGAAGGCGGAUCUCUGGGCCUUACCUGACGCUGAGGCGCGAAAGCUAGGGGAGCAAACAGG